GCGACCGUGGCGGAACUGGCAGACGCGCCAGACUUAGAAUCUGGUAUCUUUGAUGUAUGAGUUCAAAUCUCUUUGGUCGCACCA
rnacentral:tRNA from 1 species